AUAUCAAUAAGCGGAGGAAAAGAAACCAACAGGGAUUGCCCUAGUAACGGCGAGUGAAGCGGCAACAGCUCAAAUUUGAAAUCUGGCGCAAGCCCGAGUUGUAAUUUGUAGAGGAUGCUUCUGGGUAGCGACCGGUCUAAGUUCCUUGGAACAGGACGUCAUAGAGGGUGAGAAUCCCGUAUGUGACCGGCCCGCACCCUCCACGUAGCUCCUUCGACGAGUCGAGUUGUUUGGGAAUGCAGCUCUAAAUGGGAGGUAAAUUUCUUCUAAAGCUAAAUACCGGCCAGAGACCGAUAGCGCACAAGUAGAGUGAUCGAAAGAUGAAAAGCACUUUGGAAAGAGAGUUAAAAAGCAC
rnacentral:rRNA from 1 species